GGCGCACGGGUGAGUAACACGUAUCCAACCUGCCGUCUACUCUUGGACAGCCUUCUGAAAGGAAGAUUAAUACAAGAUGGCAUCAUGAGUCCGCAUGUUCACAUGAUUAAAGGUAUUCCGGUAGACGAUGGGGAUGCGUUCCAUUAGAUAGUAGGCGGGGUAACGGCCCACCUAGUCUUCGAUGGAUAGGGGUUCUGAGAGGAAGGUCCCCCACAUUGGAACUGAGACACGGUCCAAACUCCUACGGGAGGCAGCAGUGAGGAAUAUUGGUCAAUGGGCGAGAGCCUGAACCAGCCAAGUAGCGUGAAGGAUGGCUGCCCUAUGGGUUGUAAACUUCUUUUAUAAAGGAAUAAAGUCGGGUAUGCAUACCCGUUUGCAUGUACUUUAUGAAUAAGGAUCGGCUAACUCCGUGCCAGCAGCCGCGGUAAUACGGAGGAUCCGAGCGUUAUCCGGAUUUAUUGGGUUUAAAGGGAGCGUAGAUGGAUGUUUAAGUCAGUUGUGAAAGUUUGCGGCUCAACCGUAAAAUUGCAGUUGAUACUGGAUAUCUUGAGUGCAGUUGACGCACGCGGAAUUCGUGGUGUAGCGG
rnacentral:rRNA from 1 species